rnacentral:rRNA from 1 species
CCUACGGGCGGCAGCAGUGGGGAAUAUUGGGCAAUGGGCGCAAGCCUGACCCAGCAACGCCGCGUGAAGGAAGAAGGCUCUCGGGUUGUAAACCUCUUUUGUUAGGGAAGAGUAGAAGACGGUACCUGACGAAUAAGCCACAGCUAACUACGUGCCAGCAGCCACGGGAAUACGUAGGUGGCAAGCGUUGUCCGGAUUUACUGGGUGUAAAGGGCGUGUAGCCGGGUUGACAAGUCAGAUGUGAAAUCCUGGGGCUUAACCGCAGAACUGCAUUUGAAACUGUUGAACUUGAGUACUGGAGGGGCAGAUGGAAUUCCUGGUGUAGCAGUGAAAUGCGUAGAUAUUAGGAGGAACACCAGUGGCGAAGGCGGUCUGCUGGACAGCAACUGACGGUGAGGCGCGAAGGCGUGGGGAGCAAACAGGAUUAGAUACCCGAGUAGUC